GAGGAUGCUGGCCCGCGGUGUGCCACCGACAACUUUCAGCACCACGGACGGCGCCUAUCCCACGUGGGCUCCCGGGCGCUCUCCCCGACCCCAGAUCCCCGAGGAGUCAGAUCGCGGCUGGCCCUUGCCCAACUCCAGUCAGAGACUGCCCCCGCCACCCUUCCCAGAGCGGGUUCAAGAACAACUCAAUGAACCUGAGCUUCGCACAGUUUAGGUACCAGACCCCUUGGCUGCCCACCAAAAACUUGAGGACCUCAGAACAAC
rnacentral:lncRNA from 1 species